ACCAACUCUUUUUUUUUUUCUAGAACAACUCAAUGCCAUUACCAAACAGUAACUACGGCACUUUACAAUAUUAAGCUGUUAGCACAUGAUGGCACAUCAGUUUACAAUGAAAAUUCCUGUUCUGGCUGCCUAUUGCAUCAGGCUUCCCUGUUCACUUACCCUAAUGGUGGUGUGAUCUCAGUGUACUGGGGUCAGAGCGUAAAUGAAGGAAUUUUAGCAGUUAUGCAAUUGUGAACAUGGCAUUCCUAUCGACAUUUGGUAAUGGCCAGCCUCUGCAAAUCAACGUACCUGCCCAUCGCGACCCGACCGAUAAUGGUUGCGCGAGGUUGAGCGAUGACAGGGCCUGUCGAACUUUGGCCAACAGAAGAAGGUUUAAUUAACAGCAGCUCCACAAUGCCCGUUCCCCGAUGCAUAGCUUGGUGGUGCACUAGGAACUGGUUUAUUUGACUACGUUUGGGUCCAAUCUCCCUUACCAAAUUUCUGGUCAUUAUGUUAAGAACAGUUGGAAUCAAAGCAGAUCAAGUUCUACCGUUUAUUAAGACUUCCCCAAAAUAUGGAGGAGUGAUGCUUCGGUCUAGGCAGUAUGACAAGGGUUAUAUAUAGCAGGAUCAGCUAUUAAACCGAAUGUUUAAACCAUAUACAUAUUAGCCGAUUUUCUUCACCUUAAAUAAUCAAUGAAUUAUUUAAUCACACGCAAUAAAUUUAGAGCAAGAGCUUUGGCGUGAAUGACUACUGUGGAUGUGUUUCACUUGUUUGAAUGCAUGAAUAAGAAAAGCACUGGGGAGGAAGAAAUUAUGCUUGUAAUAACUUUAAUUGAAGAAAUAAAUUUUCGCAGCAUGGGUCGGUUCAGUAAUUAGUAUUUAAUUAGUACGGUCGGGUUGGAAGAAAACGAGUGUCGAAUCUGAAUCCCUGGUGCUGAACUAUCAUAUUAAUGUCUACAAAUUGGUUGGUUAAGCAAUUAUUUAUCAAGUAUUUCUAAUUCUUGUGUGGUUAUUGUUACAUGGGAACAUGGGAUGGAUUGACUGACUUUUCUUCCAGAACAUCUUUCAGACCUCAGUUCAAAGUGUCUAUGAAUUGGUUGCUUAACCGUGUGUGUGUGUGUGUGUAUGUGGCAAGCAUUUGUAAUCCUUAAAAGCUUCAUGGGAAUAAACUUUGUUCUCCUGCAAUUCUUGCUUGCUUUUCUCAUACUAAUUUAAUCGCUCUAUCAUUUUAUAAGUCAAAUGGGAGAGGCAAAGAAUUUGUAGUUCGUUGGAUUUCUAUCUAUUGAGGGCUGUUUUAUCAUUUAUGUAUGAAUAAAUUAAAAUCUUGCUCUCUUUUAGUUUUAUGAUUAUGAUUACCUUUUUCUAUUUUUCAUUUUAAUUGUUGUACCUAGGGGUGGGCAAAAUCGGAUUCGGGUCGGGUUCGGGUUAAUUCGAUCGGGUUUCGGGUUGUUCGGGUUGGACAAAUAUUAAUCCGAAUACAACCCGAUCUUACAACCCGAUCCGAUAUAUAUUCGGGUCGGAUCGGAUCGGGUCAAAAAAUCGGGUUGAACUCGGGUAGAAUCGGGUUAGGGUUAACAAAUCGGAUUGAGUUCGGGUUAUUUAAGUUCUAAUCGGGUUGGGUGAAAGCUUCAAAAUUAACGCUAAUUAUAUACCAUGAAAUGAAAGCUUCAAAAUCAAAAGUCACAAAGGGCAAAAACUUGGGUUGGGUACUCGGGUUGGAGGCUUGGCCUUGGAGCAGCAGAUCACGGACGGGUUUUCAGCAGCAGAUCGGUGGCAGUUGGCGGCAGCAGAUGGGCGGACGUGCAACGGCAGAUCGCAGACGGCUGGACGCGCAGCGUCGGGGACUGGUCGAAGUUCGGAGAGACAGGAAUAGAUCGCAGCACUGGAGGUGGAGCGUGUGUGGCCUCCGUUGGCAGUGGCCGUUGGGAGUCGGUAGAUCGCGGCACUGCUCUGUGUGUGUGUGUCUCUUGUGAGUUUGUACUUUUGUUUGUGUGUUCUGUGUUUGUGAUUUCUUCAAUGAAUCACAUGUUGUGAAUCUGUUCAACUAUUACAACUUGUGAAUCUGUUCUACUGUGACUAUGUGAGUGUGAUUUGUGUGUGGUGUGCGUGCGUUUAGGUUUAGGUUUAGAUUUUUUUUUUUUUUUUAAGCAACCCGAUCGGGUUUUCGGAUCGGGUCGGAUAUAACCCGAUCCGAUCACAACCCGAUCGGGUUUACAAUUUAUCAUCCGAUCGGGUUAUAUUCGCAACCCGAUCCGAUCCAAACCCGAUAUUUUUCGGGUCGGAUCGGGUCGGAUCGGGUCGGGUAUUUUGCCCACCCCUAGUUGUACCCAUCCAUUUCAUUGCAAUUUACAAAAGAAUCAUAACUUGAAGACGGCAAGUUUAUGAGUUUCCGAAAAAAUUGUAUUUGGUUAUUUAGGUAAUUUCAGUUUAAAAGGCGUGGUUUUAUAAGGAGUUUUGAGGGGUGUCAAAA
rnacentral:lncRNA from 1 species